rnacentral:rRNA from 1 species
CUAGCAUAUCAAUAAGCGGAGGAAAAGAAACCAACAGGGAUUGCCCUAGUAACGGCGAGUGAAGCGGCAACAGCUCAAAUUUGAAAUCUGGCUCUCUUUGGGGGUCCGAGUUGUAAUUUGCAGAGGAUGCUUUGGCAUUGGCGGCGGUCUAAGUUCCUUGGAACAGGACAUCGCAGAGGGUGAGAAUCCCGUACGUGGGCGCCUGCCUUUGCCGUGUAAAGCUCCUUCGACGAGUCGAGUUGUUUGGGAAUGCAGCUCUAAAUGGGAGGUAAAUUUCUUCUAAAGCUAAAUACCGGCCAGAGACCGAUAGCGCACAAGUAGAGUGAUCGAAAGAUGAAAAGUACUUUGGAAAGAGAGUCAAAAAGCACGUGAAAUUGUUGAAAGGGAAGCGCUUGCAGCCAGACUUGCCCGCAGUUGCUCACCUAGGCUUUGGCCUGGGGCACUCUUCUGCGGGCAGGCCAGCAUCAGUUUGGGCGGUUGGAUAAAGGCCUCUGUCACGUAUCUUCCUUCGGGAUGACCUUAUAGGGGAGGCGUAAUGCAACCAGCCCGGACUGAGGUCCGCGCAUCUGCUAGGAUGCUGGCGUAAUGGCUGUAAGCGGCCCGUCUUGAAACACGGACCAAGGAGUCUAACAUCUAUGCGAGUGUUUGGGUGUCAAGCCCGGGCGCGCAAUGAAAGUGAACGGAGGUGGGAACCCUUUGGGUGCACCAUCGACCGAUCCUGAUGUCUUCGGAUGGAUUUGAGUAAGAGCAUAGCUGUUGGGACCCGAAAGAUGGUGAACUAUGCUUGAAUAGGGUGAAGCCAGAGGAAACUCUGGUGGAGGCUCGCAGCGGUUCUGACGUGCAAAUCGAUCGUCAAAUUUGGGCAUAGGGGCGAAAGACUAAUCGAACCAUCUAGUAGCUGGUUCUGCGGCU